GUACACGCUGUGACUAGCAUAUCAAUAAGCGGAGGAAAAGAAACUAACAAGGAUUCCCUUAGUAACGGCGAGUGAAGCGGGAAGAGCUCAAAUUUGAGAUCUUCAAGGUUUUACCUUGACGAAUUGUAGUUUAAAGAAGUGUUUUCUGCUGAAGUUUUGGUAAAAGUUCUUUGGAAUAGGACAUCAUAGAGGGUGAGAAUCCCGUAUUUGACCAUUAUUUUCAGCUUUGUGAUACACUUUCAAAGAGUCGGAUUGUUUGGGAAUGCAGUCCAAAAUGGGUGGUAAAUUUCAUCUAAAGCUAAAUAUUGGCGAGAGACCGAUAGCGAACAAGUACCGUGAGGGAAAGAUGAAAAGAACUUUGAAAAGAGAGUUAAACAGUACGUGAAAUUGUCAAAAGGGAAGCGUUUAACACCAGUGUUGUUUUCUGAAAAUCAACCUCUGUUAGCUUUAUGCAUGUUUGUUUAGACCUAAUCAGCUAUCUUGCAUGUUCUAUUGUUUGCAGUGGUGCACUUUUCAGUUUACAGGUCAACAUCAGUUUUUUUUACCGUAAAAAAGUUAAAGAAAGGUAGCUCAUGGCUCCGGUCGUGAGUGUUAUAGUCUUUUUCCUAUGCGGUAGGAGAGACUGAGGUCUGCAGUGUAGGCUAUUUGGCUAGAUACUCAGGUGCUAUGUGAUACCAUUUCAUAAACAACUUGUUGAUUAUGUUUUGUCUAUUGCAUACUCGCUUGUACUAUCAUACCUACGCUUAGGAUGUUGAACUACUGAGACAUAGA
rnacentral:rRNA from 1 species